rnacentral:rRNA from 1 species
UACGGGGGGAGCAAGCGUUGUUCGGAUUUACUGGGCGUAAAGGGCGCGUAGGCGGUCGUGACAAGUCACUUGUGAAAUCUCCGGGCUUAACUCGGAACGGUCAAGUGAUACUGUCGGACUAGAGUACAGAAGGGGCAACUGGAAUUCUCGGUGUAGCGGUGAAAUGCGUAGAUAUCGAGAGGAACACCGGUGGCGAAGGCGGGUCUCUGGGCAAUUCCUGACGCUGGAGGCGACGAAAGCGUGGGGAGCAAACGGG